rnacentral:snRNA from 1 species
UAUGGGUUUGCCACCAGCUCU